AUUAUUGUCUGUUACGGGAUAAACCAUGAUCGUCAAGGUAUUUCUACCAAAAUUAGUCUCUUCCAUUGUAUUCCAGCUGGGUUGACCUUUUGCGAUCGCCUCAUAUGUGGGCGACUUGAGUAUGCCUUUUCUAAGUUC
rnacentral:snRNA from 1 species